rnacentral:rRNA from 1 species
UUAAGCUAAUAAGAGCGCAGGGUGGAUGCCUUGGCACUAAGAGCCGAUGAAAGACGUGAUAAGCUGCGAAAAGCUUCGGGGAGGAGCAAAUAUCCAUUGAUCCGGAGAUAUCUGAAUGGGGAAACCCGGCUGAGAAGACCUCAGUCAUCCAUACGCCAAUACAUAACGUAUGGAAGGGAACCCGCUGAACUGAAACAUCUAAGUAGGCGGAGGAAGAGAAAGAAACAUCGAUUCCCAAAGUAGCGGCGAGCGAAAUGGGAAGAGCCCAAACCAGAGUGCGUGCACUCUGGGGUUACGGACUGCAUAAGUGAGCUGAUUCGUUAAUGGAACGGUCCUGGAAAGACCGGCCAGAGAGAGUGAAAGCCUCGUACAUGAAAACGAUAAGCAGCGGCAGGAUCCAGAGUACCGCGAGACACGUGGAACCUUGCGGGAAUUCGGGGGGACCACCCCCCAAGGCUAAAUACUCCUUAGUGACCGAUAGCGCAUAGUACUGUGAAGGAAAGGUGAAAAGGACCCCGGGAGGGGAGUGAAAGAGAACCUGAAACCCUGUGUUUACAAGCUGUGGAAGCACGUUAAGGUGCAACCGCGUACUUUUUGUAGAACGGUCCGGCGAGUUGCGGAUGCUGGCGAGGUUAAGGAGUAAAGCUCCGGAGCCGAAGCGAGAGCGAGUCUUAAUAGGGCGUAAAGUCAGCAUGUGCAGACCCGAAACCGGGUGACCUAUCCAUGUCCAGGUUGAAGUUCCCGUAAAAGGGAAUGGAGGACCGAACGCACAUCCGUUGAAAAGGGUGGCGAUGAGGUGUGGAUAGGGGAGAAAUUCCAAUCGAACCCGGAGAUAGCUGGUUCUCCUCGAAAUAGCUUUAGGGCUAGCCUCGUAUUAGUUUAGCGGAGGUAGAGCACUGAAUUUCCUAGGGGGCGUCAAAGUCUACCGAAGAAUAUCAAACUCCGAAUGCCGCAUAAAUGAUGUACGGGAGUCAGACUGCACGAGAUAAGUUGGGUAGUCAAAAGGGAAAGAGCCCAGACCUACAGCUAAGGUCCCAAAGUGUGUGUUAAGUGGAAAAGGAUGUGGGAUUUCGAAGACAACUAGGAUGUUGGCUCAGAAGCAGCCACACAUUCAAAGAGUGCGUAAUAGCUCACUAGUCGAGAGGUCCUGCGCCGAAAAUGUCCGGGGCUGAAACACAACACCGAAGCUUAGGAAUGUAGUAAUACAUUGGUAGAGGAGCAUUCUUAAAGGAAUGAAGCAGUACCGGUAAGGAGCUGUGGACUUUUAAGAAGAGAGAAUGCCGGAAUGAGUAGCGAGAUGGAGGUGGGAAUCCUCCAGGCCGAAUAUCCAAGGUUUCCAGAGUAAAGCUGAUCUGCUCUGGGUAAGUCGGGGCCUAAGGUAAGGCUGAGAAGCGUAGCCGAUGGACAACAGGUUGAGAUUCCUGUACCGCGUAUCAUCAGAACUGUGGGGACACAGAAGGACAGCACAUCCCGGGAAUGGAAAGACCGGGGCAAGCAGGGUAGGAGUUAAGCUGGCAAAUCCGCUUAACAAUCCGAAGCUGUGAUGCGGAGCGAAUUUAAGUAGUGAAGUGUGCGAUUCCGGCUGUCAAGAAAAGCCGCUAUUGUGUGAUACGUGCCCGUACCGUAAACCGACACAGGUAGAUGAGGAGAGAAUCCUAAGGCCGGCGGGAGAAGCAUUGUUAAGGAACUCGGCAAAAUGACCCUGUAACUUCGGGAGAAAGGGUGCCUGGGAAACCAGGCCGCAGAGAAUAGGCUCAAGCAACUGUUUAGCAAAAACACAGGUCUAUGCAAAACCGUAAGGUGAGGUAUAUGGGCUGACGCCUGCCCGGUGCUGGAAGGUUAAGAGGAGGGGUUAGCGCAAGCGAAGCUCUGAAUUGAAGCCCCAGUAAACGGCGGCCGUAACUAUAACGGUCCUAAGGUAGCGAAAUUCCUUGUCGGGUAAGUUCC